GUGCUCGCUUUGGCAGCACAUAUACUAAAACUGGAACAACACAGAGAAGAUUAGCAUGGCCUCUGUUCAAGAAUGACACGCAAAUUUGAGAACAUUAUAAAAAAUAG